rnacentral:lncRNA from 1 species
AAAACAAAAAAAAACUUCCUGGGGGAAGGAGUUAUGCCUUCCCCAUGGGAAAGACUUACAGAGCAGCAACCAGAGAUGUAGAAAUCACACCAGUGUGAACUAGAAGCAUCUACAUCCAAGAUGACCUAUUCUCUCUGGGGGCCUGGCAGUAUCAAUCUCUCGUUGUCUCCUUCCUUCUGAAAAUACCUUCCACCCUAACUCUUGGAUUUUCAAUCUGUUCUGCAGAGGUUUCUCCUCCUGCCUCCUUUGUUGACCUUGGGAAUUCCAACAGAGGCCCCUUCUCACAGUUCCGCCUGAAAAGUCAGACUGCACAAAGCCUAAAUAACUUGCCGUAUGUAGCUAGAGGAGCCUGGGUCUAGUGGAAGUUCACAUGCCUGUGUCCCUGGUCCCUUUUCUCACUUCUAGGUCUUUGUACUUGUUUUUCACUCUGCCUGGAAUGUUCCAUCUCAGGCGGCCUGGUCCUCACCUAGUCUGUCUCCCUCUGGAAGCUGUCACUGUAGCAGCAAGCUCCAGCUCCUGUGUAGACACCUCCCAUAACACCUUAAUUUGACUCUCUUCACACCAUUAUAAAGGUCUGCUUCUUUGCGUUUCUCCCAGAAAUUUGUCAUUUCCUCGAGGCCAAAGGCUGUCAUAGCUAUACUGUAGCAUCUGCCACAGUCCACGGUGACUGUUGGUGCCUGGCACACUUUAGGUGCUUAGUAAAUACUGGAUAAGUAGGAAGAAAGGUAGGGGAGGGGCUUAGUGUUCACUGUUUCUGAAAGGUUACCUAAGGCAAGCACUGGCAAAUGUUGGUGUUUGCUACAAGGAAAUUGAUUCGUAAUUCUGCCGCAGUGGUUUUAGUGUGAGUGCUGGGUAUCCAAACACUGAAAGAGGAGGAGGUGAAAGUCAGAAUAGCAAGUGUGCGCAAGGCCCAGAGAACUACAGAAAAUUAACUAAACGGGGCUGUUUCAUAUUUCUGCAUUCAUUCUUUUACCUACUCAUUUGGAUUUGACACAGCCUCACCAGCUAUUGCUAGCCUGAAACUAACUGUAUAUCAGGCUGGGCUUGAAUUUGUAGUAAUCCCCCUGCCUCCUGAAUGCUAAGAUAACAGGCCUGUACCACCUCACUUGGCUUUAUUUUUUUAUUUGUGUUUGUUUUUUCCAGAGAGAUCUAGUCUAGGUGCCUCUUCAGACAGCAAUCUACCACUGACCUGUACCCCCAGACAUACUGCUUUUGUGUCUUUUUAAGACAGAGCUUCGCUGUCUAACCCAGAAUGGCCUCCUGCGUCAGCGUGUGGAUUAUGUAUAUGAACCUCAUCAGGCUCUCUCUGCUUUUUAGUUUUUUUUUUCUCUCCAGUACUGGGAAUUGAGACCUAGAAUUGAAUUCUAGAAACACCUCGAACUCAGAAAUCCGCCUGCCUCUGCCUGUGCUGGGAUUAAAGGCGUGCGCCACCACGCCCGGCCUUCUUUUCCUUUUUUUAAAAGAUUUGUUUAUUUUAUGUAAAUGAGAACACUGUAGCUGUCUUCAGACACACCAGAAGAGGGCAUUGGAUCCCAUUACAGAUGGUUGUGAGCUACCAUGUGAUUGCUGGGAAUUGAACUCAGGGCCUCCGGAAGAGCAGUCAGUGUCCUCUUACCUGCUGAGCCGCCUCUCCAGCCCCUCCUGUUUUUCCUCAGGAAAACCCUGAGCUUCCGCAUCUGAACUUCCACAGAGGAAGGUGCUUCCUGUUCACGUCCUUAGGAGUGCUAGGGGCUUAGGAUAUUGCUCAGUGGUAGUUGGGGCUCAGCAUUUAUGGGAAUCUGAGUUCAAUCCUUAGUCCUUCACC